AACGAACGCUGGCGGCAGGCCUAACACAUGCAAGUCGAACGCAUCGCAAGAUGAGUGGCGCACGGGUGAGUAACACGUGGGAAUGUGCCCUUUGGUUCGGAAUAACGUCUGGAAACGGACGCUAAUACCGGAUGUCCCCUGCGGGGGAAAGAUUUAUCGCCAAAGGAGCAGCCCGCGGCUGAUUAGGUAGUUGGUGGGGUAAAGGCCUACCAAGCCGACGAUCAGUAGCUGGUCUGAGAGGAUGAUCAGCCACACUGGGACUGAGACACGGCCCAGACUCCUACGGGAGGCAGCAGUGGGGAAUAUUGGACAAUGGGCGCAAGCCUGAUUCAGCCAUGCCGCGUGAGUGAUGAAGGCCUUCGGGUUGUAAAGCUCUUUCGCACGUGACGAUGAUGACGGUAACGUGAGAAGAAGCCCCGGCUAACUUCGUGCCAGCCGCCGCGGUAAAAC
rnacentral:rRNA from 1 species